rnacentral:rRNA from 1 species
AGGUAGAGCACUGAAUAGGCUAGGGGGCAUAGCGCUUACCGAACCUUAUCAAACUCCGAAUGCCAUUAUACUAUCAGUCCGGCAGUCAGACUAUGAAAAGAAAGUUCAUGGUCAAAAGGGAAACAGCCCAGAUCGUCAGCUAAGGUCCCAAAGUGUAAGUUAAGUGGAAAAGGAUGUGGGAUUUCUAAGACAACUAGGAUGUUGGCUUAGAAGCAGCCACUCAUUAAAAGAGUGCGUAAUAGCUCACUAGUCAAGAGAUCCUGCGCCGAAAAUGUCCGGGGCUCAAACUUACCACCGAAGCUACGGGUUCACAAUUUAUUGUGAGCGGUAGAGGAGCGUCGUAAUCGGGCUGAAGUCGUACCGAAAGGAGCGGUGGACUGAUUACGAGUGAGAAUGUUGGCAUUAGUAGCGAGAUGUAGGUGAGAAUCCUACAGGCCGAAUAUCUAAGGUUUCCUGAGUAAAGUUUGUCUUCUCAGGGUUAGUCGGGACCUAAGGCGAGGCCGAAAGGCGUAGUCGAUGGACAAUUGGUUGAUAUUCCAAUACCACUAUAAUCGUUAUUAUCGAUGGUGUGACGGAGAAGGAUAGGAUGUGCUAACUAUUGGAUGUUAGUCUAAGCGUUUAGGGAGUUAGGAUAGGCAAAUCCGUUCUAACAAUUCUGAGGCGUGAUGGGGAAGGUUCCACGGAACCGAAGUAUCUGAUUCCAUGCUUCCAAGAAAAGCAUCUAGAGAGAGAAGUAGUGCCCGUACCGCAAACCGACACAGGUAGAUGAGGAGAGAAUCCUAAGGCCGACGGAAGAAUUGCAGUUAAGGAACUAGGCAAAUUGACCCCGUAACUUCGGGAGAAGGGGUGCCUGCUUUACGGCAGGCCGCAGAGAAUAGGCACAAGCAACUGUUUAACAAAAACACAGGUCUCUGCUAAAGCGAAAGCUGAUGUAUAGGGGCUGACGCCUGCCCGGUGCUGGAAGGUUAAGGGGAACACUUAGCGUAAGCGAAGGUGUGAACUUAAGCCCCAGUAAACGGCGGCCGUAACUAUAACGGUCCUAAGGUAGCGAAAUUCCUUGUCAGGUAAGUUCUGACCCGCACGAAUGGCGUAAUGACUUGUGCACUGUCUCAACUGCAAAUCCGGCGAAGUUGUAGUGCGAGUGAAGAUGCUCGCUACCCGCGAUUGGACGGAAAGACCCCGUAGAGCUUUACUGUAGCUUAGCAUUGAAUUUCGGUAUUGUCUGUACAGGAUAGGUGGGAGACUGGGAAACUAGGGCGUCAGCCUUAGUGGAGUCGUUGUUGGGAUACCACCCUGAUAGUAUUGAAAUUCUAACUGGAUGCCAUGAAACUGGUGACAGGACAUUGUUAGGUGGGCAGUUUGACUGGGGCGGUCGCCUCCUAAAAUGUAACGGAGGCGCCCAAAGGUUCCCUCAGAACGGUCGGAAAUCGUUCGAAGAGUGCAAAGGCAGAAGGGAGCCUGACUGCGACACCUACAAGUGGAGCAGGGACGAAAGUCGGGCUUAGUGAUCCGGUGGUACCUCGUGGGAGGGCCAUCGCUCAACGGAUAAAAGCUACCUCGGGGAUAACAGGCUGAUCUCCCCCAAGAGUUCACAUCGACGGGGAGGUUUGGCACCUCGAUGUCGGCUCGUCGCAUCCUGGGGCUGAAGUAGGUCCCAAGGGUUGGGCUGUUCGCCCAUUAAAGCGGCACGCGAGCUGGGUUCAGAACGUCGUGAGACAGUUCGGUCCCUAUCCGUCGCGGGCGUAGGAAAUUUGAGAGGAGCUGUCCUUAGUACGAGAGGACCGGGAUGGACUGACCUAUGGUGUACCAGUUGUUUCGCCAGAAGCAUAGCUGGGUAGCUAAGUCGGGAAGGGAUAAACGCUGAAAGCAUCUAAGUGUGAAGCCCACCUCAAGAUGAGAUUUCCCAUAGCAUAAGCUAGUAAGACCCCUUGAAGACUACAAGGUUGAUAGGUCAGAGGUGUAAGUGCGGCAACGUAUUUAGCUGACUGAUACUAAUAGGUCGAGGGCUUGACCAA